rnacentral:rRNA from 1 species
AACGAACGCUGGCGGCAUGCCUAACACAUGCAAUUCGAACGAGACCUUCGGGUCUAGUGGCGCACGGGUGCGUAACGCGUGGGAACCUGCCCUUAGGUUCGGAAUAACUCCCCGAAAGGGGUGCUAAUACCGGAUAAUGUCUUCGGACCAAAGAUUUAUCGCCUUUGGAUGGGCCCGCGUUGGAUUAGCUAGUUGGUAGGGUAAAAGCCUACCAAGGCGACGAUCCAUAGCUGGUCUGAGAGGAUGAUCAGCCACACUGGGACUGAGACACGGCCCAGACUCCUACGGGAGGCAGCAGUGGGGAAUAUUGGACAAUGGGCGAAAGCCUGAUCCAGCAAUGCCGCGUGAGUGAUGAAGGCCUUAGGGUUGUAAAGCUCUUUUACCCGGGAUGAUAAUGACAGUACCGGGAGAAUAAGCUCCGGCUAACUCCGUG